CCUACGGGAGGCAGCAGUGAGGAAUAUUGGUCAAUGGUCGCGAGCCUGAACCAGCCAAGUAGCGUGAAGGAUGACUGCCCUACGGGUUGUAAACUUCUUUUAUAAAGGAAUAAAGUGAGGCACGUGUCCCUUGUUGUGUGUACUUUAUGAAUAAGGAUCGGCUAACUCCGUGCCAGCAGCCGCGGUAAUACGGAGGAUCCGAGCGUUAUCCGGAUUUAUUGGGUUUAAAGGGAGCGUAGAUGGGUUGUUAAGUCAGUUGUGAAAGUUUGCGGCUCAACCGUAAAAUGGCAAUUGAUACUGGCAGUCGUGAGUACAGUUGAGGUAGGCGGAAUUCGUGGUGUAGCGGUGAAAUGCUUAGAUAUCACGAAGAACUCCGAUUGCGAAGGCAGCAUACUAAACUGCCACUGACAUUGAGGCUCGAAAGUGUGGGUAUCAAACAGGAUUAGAUACCCGUGUAGUC
rnacentral:rRNA from 1 species